GCAACUCUUCUUUUCCUUCUUCAUUCCAGCCGUGCAACUCCAAGGAAAAACAAGACCAAGUUCUUCAUUUUUCCUUCAUCAAAUCUUCAUCAAACCUCUUCCAAUUCACUCCAAAUUCGAACUACACUUAACUAAACAUUUAGAGAUCCCAUUGAGCUAAGAAAAGGAGCUGCUAUCCAUGGUUUUCUUGAGCAUCUAAGGGGCCGAAAUUUCUGCCUUCAUCCUCUAAUCAAGCGCUCAAGGGGACCUUCAAGAAGAACUCGAAGUGGACGCCUAGACACUUGUUUGAGUAUUUACUCUCUUGUUGCAAUAGGGUUCGAGACCAAGGGUGCUCGUGAGUAGUACUAGAUUGUU